CGGCGCGUCGUCAUGGCAACCGACCGGCCCAUGUACGUCACUUCCUGACCUGCUGUGACGCAGAGACCGGAAGUGUGGGACGGGGGAGGCCUGGAACACUGUGAUGCACGCAGCUGGGAGUCAUGGAAGGGGGAUUCUAGCAGUGUAACUUCACCCACAGCAGCUGUCAGAAAGAAGCAGUCUUGGAAUGUUCACAGGCAUAAUAGUAUGUCAUUUGCUAAUUUCAGUAGAGAACCAGCUCAGCCUGAAUUUAGUGUCUCAGCAGCAGUCGACAAAGGGAUGUCCCUCUCCUCUAUUAUCAGCAGCAUUCAUGUGGGCGUCACCUCUGCAUAUUUGACAAGAAUGUAUUGUACAGCUUCCGUAUUACACCUGUAGGAAAUUAGAGGUUCAAGAUCACCAAUACCCAAAUCCAAAGUACAACAAUAAUACUGACCUCAGUUGCUAUGAUGCAUUCAUCUUUCUCAUCUGAUAUGACAUAUACAGACUGAUAUUUUGUGUCUUUAGUUGAGUAGUUUGAGUCUGGUCUUCUUCUUUCUGAAGAAUCACUGUGGGUAACAAAUAAAAGGCAUAUCAUUUCAGUACUUAAAACAAAUAAGAGAGGAAAAUAAACCAUUAAAAACUUUGCACAAAGUAGAGAUGUCAAGACAUUCACCUUUUUAAAUGUGAUGAGUGCAUGUCUUCUGAAUCUGAGUCAUUGGUGCUGCACUUGGCCUCACAUUUCCUACGUUCCUCCUUUGAAGUGUCCUCAUUCUUCAUCUCGUGGACUAAAUUGUAAUCCACGGUUGGGUAUCUGGGCUUGUAGCCAUUUUUAUCAUUAUUGCUUUCACUUAGGAAGUCCACUUUCUUAUUUGUGUUUUUAAUCUGACUGGUGCCUAUGAUGCUUACAGAAAUGUCCUUUUCACGAUGGCAGUUGGAAAGAUUAUUCAUGGUCUUGGUCUCACCAUGUGCAGGAAUAGGCAUGUGUCGUUUCUUCUGCACCUUGAGUCGUACAUAGACAACUACUGCAGCACAACCUAACAGCAGCAAAAACACCAGGAUAAUCCCAGCACACACUGCAAUCCAUGGAAACUGUCCUCCUUGUUUUUCUACGUAUUUACCAGUGGAAUCCACAAUACUGGGUUGUUCAGGCAAUAAGAACUGGCAAUUAAGUCCACCAUAGCCACGAGCACAUUCGCAGACAUAACGGUUGUUUCUCUCAUGACAUGUUGCCCCAUUGUGGCAUGGAUUGUGCUCACAUUUGCUGACAGGCAUGCUGCAAUUCUUCCCGGUGUACCCAGGAGGACAGGUGCAUAAAUAGUCAUUAAUCCCAUCCUGGCAUGUGCCACCAUUCUGGCAGGGAAAGGAAGAACAGUCAUCCAGGUUGUCAUCACAGUGCCUUCCAGAGAAGCCAUCUUGACACUGACAUAUAUAGGAAUUUCCAAGGUCUUCGCAGCGAGCUCCUGUUACACAAUCAAGCAGCCGAUUAGAGAAUGCAACUUGAGGUUUGAUAUAGUUGAAACCAGAAUAUGCAGCUGGGCAAAGGCAGCUGUAUCCACCAUCUGGGUUAUCAGAGCAUCUGCCUCCAUUGAAGCAUGGUCC